AUGACGGUGCUGCCCGCACCCCUGCCUCAUUCGAGAGUUUCACUUCAUGUAGCAGCGUGGAUGUCCGGGGAAGUGGUUCCUCGCCGGCUGGAUGGCGUUCAGGCGCAACCCCGGCGCCCACUGAUUACUGGCUCAGCUACAACCUCCCUCGGUGAUCUCCUACUUCCUCCUGCUCCUCAAUUUCUGUUCGGGGAAUUCUUCAAUUGA
rnacentral:rRNA from 1 species